UGGCUCAGUAGUAGAGCGCUUGCCUUGCAUGCAAGAGGCCCUGGGUUUGAUUCCCCAG
rnacentral:tRNA from 1 species